GUUUCCGUGGUAUAAUGGGAAGCACGGCAGACUGCACAUCUGUUGGUGCGUGUACGAGUCCCGCCUGAGGUU
rnacentral:tRNA from 1 species